rnacentral:rRNA from 1 species
UACGUAGGGUGCAAGCGUUAUUCGGAAUUACUGGGCGUAAAGCGUGCGCAGGCGGUGAUGUAAGACAGAUGUGAAAUCCCCGGGCUCAACCUGGGAACUGCAUUUGUGACUGCAUCGCUGGAGUGCGGCAGAGGGGGAUGGAAUUCCGCGUGUAGCAGUGAAAUGCGUAGAUAUGCGGAGGAACACCGAUGGCGAAGGCAAUCCCCUGGGCCUGCACUGACGCUCAUGCACGAAAGCGUGGGGAGCAAACAGG